UGGCCCUAUUUUCCCUGAUUCCUACAAGUCCAUUUAAAAGAAAUGGCGCUGGGAGAGGAUUCUAUCAAAUGACAUUUCAUCGAAAGGUUGCUUCCCUCACACUCUGAAGCAAGUCCUUCAGCAGUUUCCAGUGGCUGCCAAUGCUAACACCUGGAAGGCAGAAGGAACCUAGGAUUCAGAUGAGUACUUGCAGAUUCAACAAGACAAUUUUGCAUUUUGAGACCAUAUUUCUCCAGUUUCCAAAAGCAUUUCAAGAAUGGAAUAAGACUCUAGUUGUAAAUUAAACAGAUAAUGAACAUCGCAAAUUUUCCUAAAGGUCACAAGUUGCAACUUGGAAAGGAAGAAAUUUAGAUACACAUUUAAAGGUUUCAUUCGUGAAGGGCCCUCCUAGCUAAGCUAGGGAAGCCCCAGAUUACAACAAUAAAGAAGACCCAGGAUGCCCAAGGAGGCAGAAGCACCCCUCCCAGCUGGUGAUUUCCAACCCUGACCUGGGAUCUCUCACGUUUGAAGACACUGGAAAUUAUCUAAACAUCUUCAAAGAGUCUCCAAGUGAUUUGACCCUAAGUUAC